CGCCAUGCACGCACCGCUGCACUCCUGCCACUUUGUUCUUUCAGGUGAUUGGAUAUUGUUCGCUGAGGUUUUCUCUCUAAUUAAUUCCCGGGACAACACGAUUUUUCUACAACAACUAUAUUAGUGUAGCCUGUCCUAUACGGGGUGUCACAACUCACAACGAAGUGCUCAGCAAACAGGAAACUAGAAGAGGAUUGUUUGUUCUGCUGUAAAUUAUCAUGCAUAUAAUGUCAAGUUACUCGCUCUAUGGCUGAAGCUAGAACAUCUAUGUGCAAUGCAAAUUUCAUCCCAGCUAUGACCCAUACAAUUCUUAAAAAAGGUAAAUUUUCUUUGCUUUGACAAUGACACUAACUAUGCAGAUAUGAGAUUCAUUGAUUUAAUUUUCUCAUGUCACCGUCAGAUUUUAUUCACAUGAUUUGAUCUCAGCAGUUUAGCCAUGCCUUGAACAAUAUAGAUAGUUCAUAAGAGGCUUGCUUUUUUUUCGUAUUUGUAUGCGAUGCGGACAAUGAUACCAACUAUGCAGUUAUGUAUUCAUCAAUUUAAUUUUCCCAUUCAGCAUUAAUAUUUGUAGGCUACAUUUUUUUUUGUAUUUUUUCGUUCUACAGGUUUUUGGACAUGGUUAUCUGAAAUUGCUCUGUGAGCUGCUCUAAACAUCUGAGUAUUCUUGCAUGUUAGUGUAUUGCUCCACUUUGGCUCUUAGCUUCUUACUUUCCACUUUGUGAUCAAAUGUAGUUGCCUUCUCUUAUGCAGAUGAACGGGACCAAUCUGCUCACCAUAUCCAGUAACUUAGGAAAUAAGAGUUUGGUGAAAUUUGGAUUUUUAGAUGAAAAGCACCAUGUGCCCAUAUUUAACAUUGAGAUCGAGUUGCAAAAGGAGAAAGAGAGUAAAAUAGCACAACUCAUGCUGACCUAUAAUAACUAUUUUUGACACGCGAAAGAAUAACUGGAAGGAAAACAAUGGUAGCAGCACCAAGUUCUAUAUGGCGCAGAAUGUUCAAUAUAAGGCCUGGACGGUUGAACUUGUCCUUUUAGCUGAUGAUAAUGUAUUACAAUGCUUCAGUAGAUUUUCAUCUCAGACGGACAUACAGAAACCCACUUAUAAGUUAGUACAAAAUAUAUCAAGGCUGAUGAAUGUUAUUGCAUGACUUCCUUCUAAUCAUGUUGUUUAAAAUAAGAGGAUGGAGGUCUAAUAUAUAGAUUAGUAUUAUAGUUUUGUUCAAUGAUUAAUUCUUGCACAUCCUCCAGUUAUGAUAAUAUUGCACUGUCUCAACAGGAAAGAUGAAUCGCUUCACAAGAUUCCCAUCUUGAGAAGCUAUAGAGGCAAGUGCAUGGCGAUCUCCAUGCGUAGAAAGGAAAACUAACUCACUGCCAAAGUUAUGCCCGUUGAUGCUAAAUCUAGCAUAUUCAGCUACGUACUUGAAUUUGAUAUUUGUAGUUUUGUAUUUUCCGACAUUUGUCAUGUUACUUCACUUUUAUUUUAAUAAAAAAACUUUUUUGGAUAUUUGUUAUCAAACUGUAGAUAGGUGUUUCUAAGACAGGAGCAUUAAAAAAUAAGCUUCAGUUUUACUUAAGUUGGUUGUAGUGGAAGAUUAAAAUGAAGGGAGUCUUCUAUGAAGUGAUUUAGGCCCUACGUUGUUAUCCAUAGACUAUUCCUAUUUUGGUUCUACCAUUUGUUAUAUUAGAAGAUAUUUCCUAAUAUUCACAUGUUGCUACAUUUUUCAUUUACUUUACGAAGUAGGCCCUUUCAUUUGCUCUCGGGCUGAUUGUCUUUUUGAAGGUAUCUUUUAGUUGAUGAAGCAGUCCAACUGUUGAACUUCAUCAGUAUCUAGCUGCUAUAACUCCCUAAGAUAUCUUUUUUUAUCAUUUAAUCUUCUUGGUGCUGUUUAUGUUGUAGUUGUCUUCUUAAUUAUUUUCACCUUAAUAAUUGUUAUUUUCUGCAGCCCUUUGCUCAUAUUUGAAAUCCUUCUAUAGAUUAUGAAUAGAUGAAGAACCAUUCUUUUGCACGAGUCAUUGGUACUUCUCCCCAAGGAAUCGAACUCCGGUCGGGGUGCGACACUGCGACCCCAACCAUUGGGCUGCCUGCACAAACCGUAUGUCAAGUGCUGGAAGGACGGCAAACAAAUUCAGGGUCUUGAAGCACAUAGGAGAGUGCAAAAGUUCACAUAAAAGAAUAGAUAGUUUAAUUCUUCACUCAUAUGUCUAUACUAUUUUGCAAUGGUAAAGAGACAACGAUGUGUUUGCUACAUCAGAGGAUUCAUUAUUAACGAUGGUGCCUAUUGCAAUCAAUCAAUAUAUUUUCCUUA